rnacentral:ncRNA from 2 species
UCGACUGUGUGUGACUGGCGGACAUGGGUAACCAUGAGGGAGCACAUGGAUAUAUAGCCGUACGCCUGGGCAAGAGGU